rnacentral:rRNA from 1 species
UACGUAGGUCCCGAGCGUUGUCCGGAUUUAUUGGGCGUAAAGCGAGCGCAGGUGGUUUAUUAAGUCUGGUGUAAAAGGCAGUGGCUCAACCAUUGUAUGCAUUGGAAACUGGUAGACUUGAGUGCAGGAGAGGAGAGUGGAAUUCCAUGUGUAGCGGUGAAAUGCGUAGAUAUCAGGAGGAACACCGGUGGCGAAGGCGGCCUGCUGGACUGCAACUGACGUUGAGGCGCGAAAGCGUGGGGAGCAAACAGG